rnacentral:rRNA from 1 species
ACCGUGCGCCUACAAUCCGUCGGAGCCCUUUUGUGGGGUGACGGCGUGCCUAUCGAAAAAUGAGUCUGCGAGUCAGUGGCAUGUGGCGAGCAUAACCCGUGUGGGGUAUGCGUAGCGAAGGCGAGUCUUAAAAGGCGUUUGAGUCGCGUGUCCUGGACCCGAAGCGGGAUGAUCUAGCCCUGAGCAGGUUGAAGCGCGGGUAAGACCGCGUGGAGGACCGAACCCACCUGGGUUGAAAACCGGGGGGAUGACUUGGGGCUAGGGGUGAAAGGCCAAUCAAAUUCCGUGAUAGCUGGUUCUCUCCGAAAUGCAUUUGGGUGCAGCGUCGGGUCAUUACGUCCCGGGGGUAGAGCUACUGGAUGCUUGCGGGCCCGUAUCGGGUACCAACAGCAACCAAACUCCGAAUACCGGUGACGCGUAUCCCGGCAGUGAGUCGGCGGGGGAUAAGCUUCGUCGUCGAAAGGGAAACAGCCCAGACCGUCGUCUAAGGUCCCGAAGCGUGUGCUAAGUGGGAAAGGAUGUGGAGUCGCAUAGACAGCCAGGAGGUUGGCUCAGAAGCAGCCACCCUUGAAAGAGUGCGUAACAGCUCACUGGUCUAGUGGUUCCGCGCCGACAAUGUAGCGGGGCUCAAGCACACCACCGAAGACGCGGCAGUAUUUUGUACUGGGUAGGAGAGCGUCCCAUGAGGGGCGAAGCGGCCGUGUGAACGCGCCGUGGACUUCAUGGGAGUGAGAAUGCAGACAUGAGUAGCGAGAGACGGGUGAAGAUCCCGUCCGCUGGAUGACCAAGGGUUCCAGGGCCACGUUCAUCGUCCCUGGGUGAGUCGGGUCCUAAGGCGAGGCCGACAGGCGUAGUCGAAUGGAUGAACGGGUCGAUAUUCCCGUACCGGCUUUCAGCCGCCAAAACCGAGGCUUGGAGUACUAACCUCCGGGUCCGGGCUUACUGCUCCUUCGGGGGCGGGAUGCCCUGGCCUGUUGGGACCGAUCCUUGUAGUAGGUCAGCGCAGGAGUGACGCAGAAGGGUAGCCGGCCGCGGAGGUGGUCUUCCGUGGUCAAGCACGCAGGGCGUGGGACAGGCAAAUCCGUCCCGCAUGGGUCCGAGGUGCGAUGAUGGGGGCCUUAUGGCCCGAUAUCCGGUGAUCCCGGCUGCCGAGAAAAGCUUCGGCGUCAGGCUCAAAGCCGCCCGUACCCCAAACCGACACUGGUGGUCAGGUAGAGAAUACCAAAGCGAUCGAGCGAAUCCUGGUCAAGGAACUCGGCAAAUCACUCCCGUUCCUUCGGUUUAAGGGAGACCCCCGAUGGUGAACACACUUGCUGUGGGAGCUUUUGGGGGUGGCACAGACCAGGGGGUAGCGACUGUUUACCAAAAACACAGGUGCAUGCGAAGGCGCAAGCCGCUGUAUAUGCACUGACGCCUGCCCGGUGCCGGAAGGUUAAGAGGAUCCGUCAGCCUUCGGGUGAAGCGGUGAAUUCAAGCCCCGGUAAACGGCGGUGGUAACUAUAACCAUCCUAAGGUAGCGAAAUUCCUUGUCGGGUAAGUUCCGACCUGCACGAAUGGCGUAACGAUUUGGGCGCUGUCUCAACCAUGGACCCGGUGAAAUUGUAUUAUUCGUGAAGAUGCGAAUUACCUGCGGAAGGACGGAAAGACCCCGUGAACCUUUACUGCAGCUUGACAUUGAUCGUUGGCUCGGCGCGUAGAGGAUAGGCAGGAGGCUGCGAAGCCCGGGCGCCAGCCCGGGCGGAGCCGACCUUGGAAUACUGCCCUCGUCGCGUCGGCGAUCUAACCCCCGGCCGUGAUCCGGCGGGGGGACCGUGUCAGGCGGGUAGUUUGACUGGGGCGGUCGCCUCCCAAAACGUAACGGAGGCGCGCAAAGGUCCGCUCAGAACGGUCGGCAACCGUUCGCAGAGCGCAAGAGUACAAGCGGGCUUGACUGCGAGGCGUACAGGCCGAGCAGAGACGAAAGUCGGUUCUAGUGAUCCGGCGGCACAGAGUGGAAUGGCCGUCGCUCAACGGAUAAAAGGUACUCCGGGGAUAACAGGCUGAUCUUGCCCAAGAGUCCACAUCGACGGCAAGGUUUGGCACCUCGAUGUCGGCUCAUCGCAUCCUGGGGCUGAAGUCGGUCCCAAGGGUUGGGCUGUUCGCCCAUUAAAGCGGUACGCGAGCUGGGUUCAGA